GACGAACGCUGGCGGCGUGCUUAACACAUGCAAGUCGAACGGAAAGGCCCUGCUUUUGUGGGGUGUUCGAGUGGCGAACGGGUGAGUAACACGAGAGUAACCUGCCCUUGACUUUGGGAUAACUUCAGGAAACUGGGGCUAAUACCGGUUAUGAGCUCCUGCUGCAUGGUGGGGGUUGGAAAGUUUCGGCGGUUGGGGAUGGACUCGCGGCUUAUCAGCUUGUUGGUGGGGUAGUGGCUUACCAAGGCUUUGACGGGUAGCCGGCCUGAGAGGGUGACCGGCCACAUUGGGACUGAGAUAAGGCCCAGACGCAGACGGGAGGCAGGAGUGGGGAAUAUUGCACAGUGGGCGGAAGCCUGAUGCAGCAACGCCGCGUGCGGGAUGACGGCCUUCGGGUUGUAGACCGCUUUCGCCUGUGACGAAGCGUGAGUGACGGUAAUGGGUAAAGAAGCACCGGCUAACUACGUG
rnacentral:rRNA from 1 species